UGCAGGAAGACGGCCCUAUGGGUUGUAAACUGCUUUUGUACGGGAAGAAACACCCCCUCGUGAGGGGGCUUGACGGUACCGUAAGAAUAAGGAUCGGCUAACUCCGUGCCAGCAGCCGCGGUAAUACGGAGGAUCCAAGCGUUAUCCGGAAUCAUUGGGUUUAAAGGGUCCGUAGGUGGAUGGUUAAGUCAGAGGUGAAAUCCUGCAGCUCAACUGUAGAAUUGCCUUUGAUACUGGCCAUCUUGAAUCAAUGUGAAGUGGUUAGAAUAUGUAGUGUAGCGGUGAAAUGCAUAGAUAUUACAUAGAAUACCGAUUGCGAAGGCAGAUCACUAACAUUGCAUUGACACUGAUGGACGAAAGCGUGGGGAGCGAACAGGAUUAGAUACCCUGGUAGUCCACGCCGUAAACGAUGGAUACUAGGUGUUCGGCGCAAGCUGAGUGGCUAAGCGAAAGUGAUAAGUAUCCCACCUGGGGAGUACGUUCGCAAGAAUG
rnacentral:rRNA from 1 species